UAUAGAGCCUUCAAUUGUUGACUUUGGAUUAGAAAAAUCUCCCUCAAAUCUAGUCUGAAUCAAAGGCCAUCAAAAUCAAAUACGGAUUAUUGGGGAUGUGUUUUCAUCUCCUUUGACUUUUAUAAAAUCUGAUAUUUUUCUCUUUCUCAAAGGGCUCAUUUUGAAAUUCAAAUCGACUGUUUUUUUUUUGCUAUAAAUUUCGGCACUUGUUUUCACUGAAAAAGAAAAAAAAGGAACCAUUUUUGAAAAUACAGAGGGUUCAAUAAUCAUUUAAAUUUUUUUUUAGAUUGAGAGCUUGAUUUUGGUGUUGAGAACAAUGUUUUCACGAAAUUAAACCCACGAAGGUAUGAACCUGAGAUCUAGAACUUUCUUUUAAUUCUUUGCUUGUCUGUUUUCUGAUGAUGAGGAGUUCAUCGUCUUCAAGCUUAUUGUCUCGAUGCGCUGCCCACAGAAGGAUUGCAUUUGAUCGGACGGUUCACAUUCGUUCUUAUCUCUUCCACACCCCAAAAAUCCUAAACUAUCUUAUCAUUCUUUCUUUCUAAAAAAAAAAAAAGGACUUGGCUCUCUCUCUAAUUUUUUUUUCCCCACUUAACUCUCUCUAUUCAUCUUCUUCUCCAAAGAGAACAAGACACACACAAGCCGCCGCACCUCCACCCUCACCACCACCGCGUCUUCUCUCUUUCUCACUGCGCCACCACCUCUCCUCCUUCUUGCUGAGCAGCACAACGUCACCAGCAGCCGCCAGCAGCUCCACGACGCAGCAGCCAGCAGCCUGCAACUGCGGCGACCUCCUUCUCCUCGGCAGCAACAUCGACGGCGGUAGGAGCAUCGAUGCUCCAGUGAACUGACCAGCAACUCCGGCCAGUGACGAAGAUGUAGAACGCCGCCAUGAAUCAAGUCCAAAUCAAUCGGAAAUUAUUGGUCAAAGACGGAUCUGUUCAAGAUCCGUCCGGGUACGUUUAGAUUCAAAUUGUAAGUUUAUCAUUUCAAUUCUUUGUUUCUUUGAUUAACUGAUUGUGAUAUUUGUUGUUGGCUUGAUGAAAUUGUGAUCGAUGCUUGUUCAUUAGUGAUCGUCUAAGCUAUGUAUUUGACUCCUGUUCUCUUUAAAAUAAUUAGUAGUUUGCUUGUUAAUUUCUUAUUACGUUCUGGAAUGGUUCUAUUUUAUCUUUCUUGAGUGCAUCAGUACUUUAUAGGGUUUUUUUUAUUUCGUUGAUGUUGUAUUUUAAUUAUCAAUUAUUUUUUCAUUAAAGUUUUGUGCUAUCUGGUUGGUACCAUUUAUAAAUGUCAAAUGGUCACAAUGCAUCCUUAGAGGUUUGCCUAUAGAGAUGUGAAUAUCAUCGACACACUGCUUGAACUUCAAUGUGCUUAAUAUAAGCAUUAAUACAAGGUUCAGUGGUUUUGGUGAUACUUUUAGUUGGUCUUGAGAGUAAUAAUGAUAUACAUAAUGUAACUUUCAUGGUGAUUGAUAUCUUCUAAUUCUGGUACCUGUAAAUUCUAGAUAAACCUCUUGUUUUUAUUAUUAAUUUUCUCGCUGAAUCUCAAGUUUAUUAAUGGUUUGCUCAGACCAUAUUAUGAUUCUCUGUUGCUUCUUAGCCAGUUUCAAGAUACGUGUUCAUGGUAAUCUAAUUCUUUUCCAUUUUAAGUUUGAUUCGUAUUUAAUUGGUAAUAGCUCCUUUGAUUGCCUAAGUAUGGAUGUUUGUGGUGAGUCCUUGAAACCUGUUUAGGCUAAAAUGAUCUCAUUUACAUUCACAUCUUGUUUACUUCUCUAAGAUGAUCACAGAAAAUUGUUUAAUUUAAUCAUGAUAUUAUUUGAUUUUUCGAUUGUUGUGUUUGAUUUUUGGAAAAUAAUUCUAGUAGUAACAUUUAUUUAUUUAUUAUUAUUAUUAUUUUUGAUUUAGUAACACUAUUUUGGUAUCUAGCAUGAUUGAUUCUGCUCCUUUACUGAGUUAAAAUAUAUUAGUACUUUGAUGUUUAAGGUAAAUUUUAGUAUGUUAUUUGAUUCUGGCUACCUUAUUUAGACUGGAUAGAUUGUUAUUUGUUUUAUUAUGGUAAAUCUCAGUAUAUGUUAGUGAAUAUUGAUUUUAGGUUUACUUCUGCUUAUAAUUUAAUUAUUUCUCUAAUUAAGUUUGAAUUAAUUUCUUUACCAUUAAUGAUAGUAGGUCCCUCUUGGCAUGAUAUUUGAGACUUUUUUUUGACAAAUGGAGUUGUUCUUUCUGACUUUUUCACCAUUUUGUUUUGAAUAUAUCUGACUAAAUUGAUUUGGUUGUUUGAAUUUUGAUAGAUUUCAUUGUUGAAAUCUUAAUUGAUUUGUUGUUGAAAAUUUUGUUUGACUUUAUUGAAAUUUUGUACCCCUUUUGAAAUAUUUGCUCUUUUGUUUGAAUUAUUUGAAAAAGUCUUGACUAAGAAUAGUGAAAUUACUUUUGUUGAUUUUCUUGAAUACCUUUCUUCAUUAUAAAUGAAGAACUCACAUCUUCGUUUAAGGGGGAACAAAAACAGACAGAGAGAACGGAUACACACAAAAAAGACAAAAACAGAGAAAGACAAGAAAAAACGGAAGAAAAACACAAAGAAUUAAGGAAGAACACGACCUAAUUUCACUUUCUCUUUUAAUACCUCAUAUUCAUUAGAAUACAAGGAAGUUGUUAACAAAAUACUUAUUGUUUUGAGUUCUUUCUUUUUCCUUUUUGCUACUUCAACUUGUUUGGAUCUCGGAUAUUGCUACCGCUUUUCGUUGACAUAAAACUCAUAUUAACUGGUUAGUACUUUUUUUUUCUUCUAUUUUUUAUUGUGCUGUCUUUACUUUAGGUUCUUACAUAUUAUAUCUUGUCAAAAUAAAUACAUGAAGUAUCCAGGUUAGUUCCCACUUUCUUUGAUAUAUUGGUUUAUUAUUUUUGAAAUGUGUUCUUGUUCUAUUUGUUUGCUUUGUUGUAGCAAAAUUAUAUAAUCAUGAUAUACCUCUAUAUAUAUUUGUAUAUUGGUUGUGUUUUCUUUAUGAUUUAGCAGGGUUUGAACUUCAAAAUUCAAGACACGAGGAGUUGCGAACGAAAGUUUAAGAUGUCAUUAUUUCGUUUACAUUUCGUAUUAUUUAUUUACCUUUUAUUUUAGUUUGUAAUAAUCUUGUAAAAAACUAUACUCUACAUAAUAAUAAACAUUUGGGGACUGUCUAAAGGGGUUUGGGGGUAGAUAGGCCCUUCGGAAAUGAUGAAAAUCGACCCGAGCAGAAAAAUGACAAACUUUAUAUAUUUUGUCUUUCGAUUAAUAAGCCGGCGCUGAUCCGAAGAUGAUAAGAA